GAUGAACGCUAGCGGCUGGCCUAACACAUGCAAGUCGAGGGGCAGCGUAAUAAGUAGCUUGCUAUUUAUAGAUGGCGACCGGCGGAUGGGUGCGUAACGCGUAUGCAACCUGCCUGUAACAGGGGGAUAAUCUGAAGAAAUUCGGUCUAAUACCCCGUAAUAUUACUAAAGGCAUCUUUAGUAAUUGAAAGCUUUUGCGGUUACAGAUGGGCAUGCGUUGUAUUAGGACGUUGGUAAGGUAACGGCUUACCAAUCCUACGAUACAUAGGGGGACUGAGAGGUUAACCCCCCACACUGGUACUGAGACACGGACCAGACUCCUACGGGAGGCAGCAGUGAGGAAUAUUGGUCAAUGGACGGAAGUCUGAACCAGCCAUGCCGCGUGCAGGAUGACGGCUCUAUGAGUUGUAAACUGCUUUUAUAUUAGAGUAAAAUGAAUUACGUGUAGUUCAUUGCAAGUAUAGUAUGAAUAAGGAUCGGCUAACUCCGUGCCAGCAGCCGCGGUAAAAC
rnacentral:rRNA from 1 species